rnacentral:rRNA from 1 species
AACGAACGCUGGCGGCGCGCCUAAUACAUGCAAGUCGAGCGAGAAGACGUAGCAAUACGUUUGUAAAGCGGCGAACGGGUGAGGAAUACAUGGGUAACCUACCCUCGAGUGGGGAAUAACUAGCCGAAAGGUUAGCUAAUACCGCGUACGCUCCUUGGACUUCGGUUCAGGGAGGAAAGCGAUACCGUGGGUAUCGCGCUCUUGGAUGGGCUCAUGUCCUAUCAGCUUGUUGGUGAGGAACGGCUCACCAAGGCUUCGACGGGUAGCUGGUCUGAGAGGACGAUCAGCCACACUGGCACUGCGACACAGGCCAGACUCCUACGGGAGGCAGCAGUAAGGAAUAUUGCGCAAUGGGCGAAAGCCUGACGCAGCGACGCCGCGUGGGGGA